rnacentral:rRNA from 1 species
GACGAACGCUGGCGGCGUGCUUAACACAUGCAAGUCGAACGGAAAGGCCCUGCUUUUGUGGGGUGCUCGAGUGGCGAACGGGUGAGUAACACGUGAGUAACCUGCCCUUGACUUUGGGAUAACUUCAGGAAACUGGGGCUAAUACCGGAUAGGAGCUCCUGCUGCAUGGUGGGGGUUGGAAAGUUUCGGCGGUUGGGGAUGGACUCGCGGCUUAUCAGCUUGUUGGUGGGGUAGUGGCUUACCAAGGCUUUGACGGGUAGCCGGCCUGAGAGGGUGACCGGCCACAUUGGGACUGUUGUACGGCCCAGACUCCUACGGGGGGCAGCAGUGGGGAAUAUUGCACAAUGGGCUGAAGCCUGAUGCGGCAACGCCGCGUGCGGGAUGACGGCCUUCGGGUUGUAAACCGCUUUCGCCUGUGACGAAGCGUGAGUGACGGUAAUGGGUAAAGAAGCACCGGCUAACUACGUG